GGUUUCUUCGGAGACCUGAGAGCGGCGCACGGGUGCGGAACACGUGUGCAACCUACCUUUAUCAGGGGGAUAGCCUUUCGAAAGGAAGAUUAAUACCCCAUAAUAUAUUGAAUGGCAUCAUUURAUAUUGAAAACUCCGGUGGAUAGAGAUGGGCACGCGCAAGAUUAGAUAGUUGGUGAGGUAACGGCUCACCAAGUCAAUGAUCUUUAGGGGGCCUGAGAGGGUGAUCCCCCACACUGGUACUGAGACACGGACCAGACUACUACGGGAGGCAGCAGUGAGGAAUAUUGGACAAUGGGUGAGAGCCUGAUCCAGCCAUCCCGCGUGAAGGAUGACGGCCCUAUGGGUUGUAAACUUCUUUUGUAUAGGGAUAAACCUUUCCACGUGUGGAAAGCUGAAGGUACUAUACGAAUAAGCACCGGCUAACUCCGUGCCAGCAGCCGCGGUAAUACGGAGGGUGCAAGCGUUAUCCGGAUUUAUUGGGUUUAAAGGGUCCGUAGGCGGACUCGUAAGUCAGUGGUGAAAUCUCAUAGCUUAACUAUGAAACUGCCAUUGAUACUGCGGGUCUUGAGUAAAGUAGAAGUGGCUGGAAUAAGUAGUGUAGCGGUGAAAUGCAUAGAUAUUACUUAGAACACCAAUUGCGAAGGCAGGUCACUAUGUUUUAACUGACGCUGAUGGACGAAAGCGUGGG
rnacentral:rRNA from 1 species